rnacentral:rRNA from 1 species
CCGUGAAGCUGGAUUCGCUAGUAAUCGCGCAUCAGCCAUGGCGCGGUGAAUACGUUCCCGGGCCUCGUACACACCGCCCGUCAAGCCAUGGAAGCCGGGAGUGCCUGAAGUGCGUGACCGCAAGGAGCGUCCUAAGGCAAUACCGGUGACUGGGGCUAAGUCGUAACAAGGUAGC